rnacentral:piRNA from 1 species
CCCUAUGAACUCUGAACUUAAAUAUGAGA